GCAGCGGCGGGGCGCAAGAUGGCGGCGGACCCGAGCGCCGCCUCUUCCGCCCCGUCGGGCGUUGCA
rnacentral:pre_miRNA from 1 species